GAGCGGAAGCAGCGGGAGGAACCGCGCGAGGGGGACUCAGGUCGCAGUCCUGCUGGCUCCCGGUCGUUAGAGGGGGUUCUCUACUGCCCGGCUUGGAGAUAAACUUAUUUUCUGCAUUACGCCCUUGCCGUGGGACCUGGGACUUUCAAUAAGCCUUUUCGGGAGAAAAGGAUUAAGUGACGUGCAGGAAUGAACUAAGUCCUUGAUCACUCCUGGCACAACUGCCCUGCCCUGUUUAAAGAAAAAAAAAAAAAAAAUCCCAGGAACUUGAGGGUGACGCCUAGAA